UUUGAAGAGGCCUUACAUAAUGUGGAUAAC
rnacentral:piRNA from 1 species